ensembl:snRNA U1 U1 spliceosomal RNA
CUGGGGACCUGGCAGAGAGACCGUGAUCAGGACAGUGGUUUUCCCUGGGCAAGGUUAUCCAUUGCAUAGCUGCUGUGCCGAGGCCUGUGACUGCCCCAAAUGCAGGAAACUUGAUUGCAUUAUUUACAGUAGUAGGGAUCUGUGUGCUCAAAGAACCAAA